CUCAUGGUUUCACGGUAUUGCAAUGAGAACAAUUUAAAACCCUUAGCGAGAAUCAAGUGGAGGACAAGUCUGGUGCCAGCACCCGCGGUAAUUCCAGCUCCACUAGCGUAUAUUAAAGUUGUUGCAGUUAAAAAGCUCGUAGUUGAACCUCUGUCUGGGGCUAGUUUUGGCUUUGGUCAGGCUAGUUCUAGGCAUCCGCCUACAAGACUUAGAGGGCAUUCAGUUGUUCACUAGGAGGAGUAGGCAUUUUACUUUGAAAAAAUUAGAGUGUUUAAGGCAGGCAAUCGCCCGCAUAUAUUAGCAUGGAAUAAUAGAAUAGGACACUUUUCCAUUUCGUUGGUUAUUGGAAUCGUGUAAUGAUUAAUAGGGACAGUUGUGGGCAUUUGUAUUUAAUUGUCAGAGGUGAAAUUCUUGGAUUUAUUAAAGACAAACUAACGCGAAAGCAUUUGCCAAGGAUGUUUUCAUUAAUCAAGAACGAAAGUUAGGGGAUCAAAGACGAUCAGAUACCGUCCUAGUCUUAACUAUAAACUAUUCCGACUCAAUGUUUGACUGGCUUAUAUAACCAGUUGAGCGUUGUAUGAGAAAUCAAAGUCUUUAGGUUCUGGGGGGAGUAUGGUUGCAAAGCUGAAACUUAAAGGAAUUGACGGAAGAGCACAACCAGGAGUGGAUUCUGCGGCUUAAUUUGACUCAACACGGGGAAACUUACCAGGUUAAAACAAUAGUGGGAUUGACAGUUUGAGAGCGCUUUCUUGAUUGGUUGGGUGGUGGUGCAUGGCCGUUCUUAGUUGGUGGAGUGAUUUGUCUGCUUAAUUGCGUUAACGAACGAGACCUUAACCUGCUUACUAGACUGGCGAUCAUCAAUCGUUAGCUCUUCUUAGAGGGACUUUGGUUGUUUUAACUCCAAGGAAGUUUGAGGCAAUAACAGGUCUGUGAUGCCCUUAGAUAUCCUGGGCCGCACGCGACAUACAAUGACUAGUUCAGAAAGUUUUCUCCUGACCCGAAAGGGGAUGGGUAAUCUUGAAAAUACUAGUCGUGUUAGGGAUCGAUCUUUGCAAUUAUAGAUCUUGAACGAGGAAUUCCUAGUAAGUGCGGUUCAUCAGACCGUACUGAUUACGUCCCUGCUCUUUGUACACACCGCCCGUCGCUUCUACCGAGUGGGUGGUCCGGUGAGAUAAUUGAACUUCGCAGGUAACUGAGAGGAAAGAUUAUCAAACCUAUCCACCU
rnacentral:rRNA from 1 species